GGUGCUGUGCUAUGGGUUGGGAUGGGUGGGUGCUGUGUGUGAUGGCGGUGAUGGAGCUGUUGGUUGGUGGGAGGGGGCUGGUGUCCAGCCUUGUGGCUAUGGGAUGUGGUGCUCUGUGGGUGUCUGCUCUAACCCAACUCAACCCAAGGGCUGUCCCCUGCGCCCCCUGCUUUGCUCCUGACUCUGCUGCUGGAGCUGAGCUGUUCCUUCCAUCCUCAGCUGGAUGAGUGAGUCCAUUUCAUUUCUGCCGGGCUGCUUUGGCACCGAGAUGCUUGUUUUCAUCCUUAAAAAGCAGCCGUAAGAAGAGCAGCAUCGAGCGCACGGGCUGCGGUGGAGCCGUAUUUACACCAGUGCCAAACAAGCUCAGUCUGCUCCCUGCCCUCAUUAUCUGGGCUAAUUGUGCUAGGUUCUCAGCUCACAUCCCGCUGUGCACUACCUGCCUGUGGCCCAUAGCGCAGCCCUGCCCUGUGUGUGCUCACAGCGGCUGCUUUGCAAAGCAAAUGCUGCAGCCGGUGCCUGCAGCAGCAUUGGGGCAAUGGGGGCAGGAUCCACAUGGCUGUGAUGCUGCAGCUGGAGGCUGAGGACGGGCACAGCUCGUUGCACUGGUGGUGGUGCAGCCUGCAGCCCCAGCUCUGCCCUCAGUCUUGCACCGUGUUAGCGGUGCAUGCCCUGCAUGGCGCCCGCAGGUUGCAGCCCUUCUCUCCCUGCAGCCCCGUGCUCAGACCUGCUGGGCUGGGCUGAGACCGGACACAGCUCAGUGCAGGGAGAGCCAGCUGCUUGACUGCAGCCAAUCCCUGCUCACCUGUGCAGCCCACAGGCCAAUCGCGUGCUGCCACCUGUCCUGCUCCUAUCCGCUGCCUCCAUCGUUCCCUCCACCAAUGCCAAGCAAGCAGCACCCAGCUCUGGCCAAUCGCAGGCUGCUGUCUGCUGUGCCCCGACCAACCGUGAGCCGCCACCUGUCCUUGCCUCCCAUAGCAGCUGCCCACCAAUCACAGGGCUGGCUGGCUGCUCCCAGCCAAUCCGAUGUCAUCCUCCUUUAGCAGCGCCAGCCAAUCAGAGCAGCCUGGCCCUACUGCAGGGUAUAAAGCUGGGGGGGCUCAGUGGUGUCAGGGCCUGUUGUGGGUCCUUAUGGCUGUGGGUGUUUGAGGUUGGGUUGUGCAGGGGCUGUGGGGCAGACUGACCUUCAUGGCUCUGUCUGGGCCGCUCAGGUUCUGCCUGGGCCUCAUGCCUUCAUGCUGCUCAGCUGAUGCACCGCGGGCAGUGCUGCCGUGGGCUCCAUGAGCUCAGUGCUGUGUGGGGCCAGCCCGGCUCUGCCCAUUGCAGGUCAGGGCCUGCUCUGUCUGCUCCUCCCGGCUGCUGCUGUACCAUCAUCCAGCCCUCCUGACCUCCUGGCUGCACCUUGAGAAGCUCCGUGGGACGUGGGGCACCCGAGGGCUGGGCUCGGAGCUGUGGGACGGCAGAGCUCGGGCUGCGGGUGGAUGUGGGCUGAGGUCACGGCGCCGGCUGUGUCCAGGGCCGAUGCAUUGCGGGUGUCUGCUCUGACCUGGAUGAAUGAGCACAGCCUCCAGCAUGGCUGCUCAAGGUCACCAAACCCGGAGGGGCUCUGGGGUGUCUCUGUUACACAUCAACGUGCAGAGCUGUUCCUUCACGCUGCCCGGCCUCAGUGUGAGGUGCCCUGUACAGCAGCACCUUGGAGGGGGUUGAGUCUGGGGCUGUGGCUGGUCCCGGCCCAUCCCAUCCCAGUUAGUAAAGGUACCUUGUAAUGGCUUACAAUAGGAGAGCCCAGUCUGUGCUCGAGGCAGCAGAGGGGCAGAUCCCACUGUAGGCCCCAUGAUGGGGGACAGCCGCGUGUCUGAUGCCCGAUGGGCUGCGCUGGGUUCUGCUCUCACCCUGCCCUGCACAAGGGCACAGUGUGGGGCAGGGUGACCCUGUACCUCCUGUGUCGGUCUAUGGCCGCAGUGUGACCCCAGUGCACGGUGAGGAGCUGCCCUCGGCCAGCAGCGCUGUGUUACAUUGCGGCCUGGGGACACAGCGCUGUGUUCAUUGCAGUGUUGCAGCACCAUCUAGUGCUGCCGCCCGGGGAAGCCGGACACCCUGCAGCUCCCGUGGAGUUACUGCAGCACCGCGGGGACGGGACUGCUGGAUGGUGUCCCUUGGGUCACAAUGGGGCUGUGACACUGAGGAUACAAUGGGAAACUGGGGAUGUGGGUGACCUUCCCAUGGGCUGCACAGGGCUGAGAUUUCACUGCCUUGAAGGAAGACACAGGGACCCGCAGCCCGUGUCAGCUGCAGCACAGGGCCGUGCGUCCCCAGCAAACCACAAAGGGCUGCUGCUCAGCCCAGCAGCAGUUCCAGCCAUCUCCACAGCCGCAGGCAGAAAAAUCACUUUCAGAACUUAAGAGACAGUUUAAGUGUGAAAAUAAUCAGUGAUCCAAGAUACCCGGGCUCUUGCAGCGGUGAGACACCGAUACACGUGGCAAAGCACACCUGUAUUUCAUGAGGCUUUUUUUGCAGGCACAGAGCCUGGAAAUCUGCAUGGCACCAUUCUUGACUGCUCUCACAGGUACAGACUGCAGCCUGUUGCGAAUAAACAGCCCUCAGCAGUGAGGUGUAAAAUGACUUAUUAAACUAUUCUGCGAUCUAGUGAUUGCAUUUCUUGAUGAGCAGGUUUGCUUUAAUACUGCAAAACUACAAAAGGAAAGGCUGCUUUUAAUACAAGUAGUUCUGUGUAGCCUUUAAA